rnacentral:misc_RNA from 1 species
GAUUUGACCCUUCAAAAUUAAGAUUUGUUGAGGCAGUCCGUGUUUUUCAUUUAAUGUCGCACAAAACAUGGGAACACAAAAUGCAAGUUUAUAGGAGAUGGGGUUUUUCUGAAGAUGAGAUCUGGUUGAUUUUCAGAAAGUGUCCCACAUGUAUGGCAAUGUCUGAGAAAAAGGUCAUGGCUACAAUGGAUUUUCUUGUGUGCAAGAUGGGUUGGCAGCCUGCUGCUGUUGCCAGAGUUCCAGUGAUUCUUUGCCUUAGUUUGGAGGAGAAGAGGGUUAAGCCUAGAUGUUCUGUUGUAAGAGUUUUGCUUUCGAAGGGUUUGAUUAAGGCAGAUAUCCAUUUAUCCUCAGUGUUGCAACCUUCUGAA